UACGGGGGGAGCAAGCGUUGGUUCGGAUUUACUGGGCGUAAAGGGCGCGGUAGGCGGUCAGCACAAGUCAGUUGUGAAAUCUCCGGGCUUAACUCGGAAAGGUCAACUGAUACUGUGCGACUAGAGUGCGGAAGGGGCAACUGGAAUUCUCGGUGUAGCGGUGAAAUGCGUAGAUAAUCGAGAGGAACACCUGCGGCGAAGGCGGGUUGCUGGGCCGACACUGACGCUGAUGCGCGAAAGCCAGGGGAGCGAACGGG
rnacentral:rRNA from 1 species